rnacentral:rRNA from 1 species
AUGAUAGGUCUUAUUUGGAAUUGCAGGGGGGCAGGAAAGAAAGGAAUGAGAACCUAACUGUCCCAUAUGAUUAAGGACCAUUCCCUUGACUUUCUUUGUUUGCAAGAAACAUUGAAGAAGAAUUUUUUGGAUAGUUAUUUUAGAAAGCUCGAUCCUCACAACCUGUUUGAGUGGGAAUGGAUCCCCUCUAUUGGCAAGGCUGGAGGUAUCUUAUGUGGGGUUCGGAAGAAAAAGUUUGAAGUAGUUGCUUGGAGAAAAGGCAGGUUCAUUCUCCAGGUCUCUCUUUAUGAUAUUAAUAUGAAAAAAAUAUGGACUCUCUGUAGUGUCUAUGGAGCAGCCCAUGAGAGGGAUAAAAAUGAUUUUCUUAGUGAAUUGGCUGAUUUUUGUUGCCAUAUUCAAACUCCUUUACAGAUUGGGGGAGACUUCAAUAUCCUCAAACAUAGUGGAGAGAAGAAUAAAAGAUUGCGUCGAAUAGCACAUUCUGACCUGUUCAACUCAAUCAUUAACACUAUGUGUUUGAGGGAGAUCUAUAUGAGUGGGGGGCGUACACUUGGUCUAAUAACCAAGCUCAUCCGACCUUGGAGAAAUUGGAUCGUGUUCUUAUGA